AUUGAACGCUGGCGGCAUGCUUUACACAUGCAAGUCGAACGGCAGCGCGGGCUUCGGCCUGGCGGCGAGUGGCGAACGGGUGAGUAAUACAUCGGAACGUGCCCAGUAGUGGGGGAUAGCUCGGCGAAAGCCGGAUUAAUACCGCAUACGACCUGAGGGUGAAAGCGGGGGAUCUUCGGACCUCGCGCUAUUGGAGCGGCCGAUGGCAGAUUAGCUAGUUGGUGGGGUAAAGGCCUACCAAGGCGACGAUCUGUAGCUGGUCUGAGAGGACGACCAGCCACACUGGGAAUUGGGCCAGGCCCAGACUCCUACGGGAGGCAGCAGUGGGGAAUUUUGGACAAUGGGCGAAAGCCUGAUCCAGCAAUGCCGCGUGUGUGAUGAAGGCCUUCGGGUUGUAAAGCACUUUUGGCGGGAACGAAAAGGACUGUGCCAAUACCACGGUUCGAUGACGGUACCCGCAGAAUAAGCACCGGCUAACUACGUG
rnacentral:rRNA from 1 species